GCAAGUCGAACGAUGAUGCCCAGCUUGCUGGGCGGAUUAGUGGCGAACGGGUGAGUAAUACGUGAGUAACCUGCCCUUGACUCUGGGAUAAGCCUGGGAAACUGGGUCUAAUACUGGAUACUACCUCUUGCCGCAUGGUGGGUGGUGGAAAGGGUUUUACUGGUUUUGGAUGGGCUCACGGCCUAUCAGCUUGUUGGUGGGGUAAUGGCUCACCAAGGCGACGACGGGUAGCCGGCCUGAGAGGGUGACCGGCCACACUGGGACUGAGACACGGCCCAGACUCCUACGGGAGGCAGCAGUGGGGAAUAUUGCACAAUGGGCGGAAGCCUGAUGCAGCGACGCCGCGUGAGGGAUGACGGCCUUCGGGUUGUAAACCUCUUUCAGUAGGGAAGAAGCGAGAGUGACGGUACCUGCAGAAGAAGCGCCGGCUAACUACGUGCCAGCAGCCGCGGUAAUACGUAGGGCGCAAGCGUUGUCCGGAAUUAUUGGGCGUAAAGAGCUCGUAGGCGGUUUGUCGCGUCUGCUGUGAAAGCCCGGGGCUCAACCCCGGGUCUGCAGUGGGUACGGGCAGACUAGAGUGCAGUAGGGGAGACUGGAAUUCCUGGUGUAGCGGUGAAAUGCGCAGAUAUCAGGAGGAACACCGAUGGCGAAGGCAGGUCUCUGGGCUGUUACUGACGCUGAGGAGCGAAAGCAUGGGGAGCGAACAGGAUUAGAUACCCUGGUAGUCCAUGCCGUAAACGUUGGGCACUAGGUGUGGGGGACAUUCCACGUUUUCCGCGCCGUAGCUAACGCAUUAAGUGCCCCGCCUGGGGAGUACGGCCGCAAGGCUAAAACUCAAAGGAAUUGACGGGGGCCCGCACAAGCGGCGGAGCAUGCGGAUUAAUUCGAUGCAACGCGAAGAACCUUACCAAGGCUUGACAUUCACCGGACCGCCCCAGAGAUGGGGUUUCCCUUCGGGGCUGGUGGACAGGUGGUGCAUGGUUGUCGUCAGCUCGUGUCGUGAGAUGUUGGGUUAAGUCCCGCAACGAGCGCAACCCUCGUUCUAUGUUGCCAGCACGUGAUGGUGGGGACUCAUAGGAGACUGCCGGGGUCAACUCGGAGGAAGGUGGGGAUGACGUCAAAUCAUCAUGCCCCUUAUGUCUUGGGCUUCACGCAUGCUACAAUGGCCGGUACAAAGGGUUGCGAUACUGUGAGGUGGAGCUAAUCCCAAAAAGCCGGUCUCAGUUCGGAUUGAGGUCUGCAACUCGACCUCAUGAAGUCGGAGUCGCUAGUAAUCGCAGAUCAGCAACGCUGCGGUGAAUACGUUCCCGGGCCUUGUACACACCGCCCGUCAAGUCACGAAAGUUGGUAACACCCGAAGCCGGUGGCCUAACCCCUUGUGGGAGG
rnacentral:rRNA from 1 species